UACGUAGGGGGCAAGCGUUGUCCGGAAUCAUUGGGCGUAAAGAGCGUGUAGGCGGCCAGAUAAGUCCGCUGUGAAAUCUCGAGGCUCAACUUCGAGCUGUCGGUGGAAACUGUCUGGCUAGAGUCCGGAAGAGGAGAAUGGAAUUCCUGGUGUAGCGGUGAAAUGCGUAGAUAUCUGGAGGAACACCGGUGGCGAAGGCGGCAUCCUGGACCGGUAUUGACGCUGAGGCGCGAAAGCUAGGGGAGCAAACGGG
rnacentral:rRNA from 1 species